UGGGGAAUCUUCCGCAAUGGGCGAAAGCCUGACGGAGCAACGCCGCGUGAGUGAAGACGGCCUUCGGGUUGUAAAACUCUGUGAUUCGGGACGAAAGAUAAGCAGACGAAUAAUCUGCAUAAGUGACGGUACCGAAAAAGCAAGCCACGGCUAACUACGUGCCAGCAGCCGCGGUAAUACGUAGGUGGCAAGCGUUGUCCGGAAUUAUUGGGCGUAAAGCGCGCGCAGGCGGCUACUUAAGUCCAUCUUAAAAGUGCGGGGCUUAACCCCGUGAUGGGAUGGAAACUGAGAAGCUGGAGUGUCGGAGAGGAAAGUGGAAUUCCUAGUGUAGCGGUGAAAUGCGUAGAGAUUAGGAAGAACACCGGUGGCGAAGGCGACUUUCUGGACGACAACUGACGCUUAGGUGCGAAAGCGUGGGGAGCAAACAGG
rnacentral:rRNA from 1 species